CAGCAGCCGCCACGGUAAUACGUAGGUGGCGAGCGUUGUCCGGAAUUAUUGGGCGUAAAGGGAGCGCAGGCGGACAUAUAAGUCCAUCUUAAAAGUGCGGGGCUCAACCCCGUGAGGGGAUGGAAACUGUAUGCCUUGAGUGCAGGAGAGGAAAGCGGAAUUCCCAGUGUAGCGGUGAAAUGCGUAGAUAUUGGGAGGAACACCAGUGGCGAAGGCGGCUUUCUGGACUGUAACUGACGCUGAGGCUCGAAAGCCAGGGGAGCGAACGGGAUUAGAUACCCGCGUAGUCCCUGUCUCUUAUACA
rnacentral:rRNA from 1 species